rnacentral:rRNA from 1 species
AGAACGAACGCUGGCGGCAUGCCUAACACAUGCAAGUCGAACGAGACCUUCGGGUCUAGUGGCGCACGGGUGCGUAACGCGUGGGAAUCUGCCCUUUGGUACGGAAUAACUCAGAGAAAUUUGUGCUAAUACCGUAUAAUGACUUCGGUCCAAAGAUUUAUCGCCAAAGGAUGAGCCCGCGUAAGAUUAGCUAGUUGGUGAGGUAAAAGCUCACCAAGGCGACGAUCUUUAGCUGGUCUGAGAGGAUGAUCAGCCACACUGGGACUGAGACACGGCCCAGACUCCUACGGGAGGCAGCAGUGGGGAAUAUUGGACAAUGGGCGAAAGCCUGAUCCAGCAAUGCCGCGUGAGUGAUGAAGGCCUUAGGGUUGUAAAGCUCUUUUACCCGCGAUGAUAAUGACAGUAGCGGGAGAAUAAGCUCCGGCUAACUACGUGCCAGCAGCCGC